AUAUUUACAUUUGCAAAUGUUUUCCUUUAUAUAACACUACUGAAAGCAAGCGGUUUUAUAACUGUAUAAAUACAGGUACGGGGUCAAGAGGUCAUAGAUGUUCGUAUGGAUAAACGUUCGACGUAAUUUCUCUGUGACGUCAUAAAGGGUCGACGCGCGUUCAGUGGAUUACAUACAUGCCGUGGGGUUUAAAAAAUAAUGCAUUUCACACGUUAAAAGUCACAAUCAGGCAAAUUUAAAGUAUGAAUAAGUCACAAAUGUAAAUAUAAGUAAUAAGGUAUCAUUUUUUGAGUCCCUUCGGGCUUUAUGGGAUUUGAUCACGUGACCAACCCGUUUUACAUCCCAAUAACACUCAAAAAAUGAUACCUUAUUUCUUAA